UGUCAAAAGUUUUCAACCUGUUUUAAUGAGAAAAAUAUCUAAAUGCAACAACGUCUCCAAACUCCUCUAUACAGUACUCUCCACCUGAAUCGCUGACGAAGGAUAGUCAGCGCCACAAGCGGAGAAAAUAUUAACUAGCGUCUAUACGCUCGGUCUCAUAUAGAGUUAGUUGUCGGACGGCCUUACUAGCGAAGGUAUCAAGUGGCCUUGUUCUGACUAAUAUUGAACUCGUUUCUACAUUCUGGCGGGAAGCGCGCUGUCGGACGCAACAACGGGUAUUUGUAAUAGUAGUUUCAACGUGGGCUCAGAUAGUUCCGUUUUAGUGUCCAUUAUGUGGUUUUAUGAAUGAAAAAUUACAAGUUGUGAAAGCGCACGUCAAUAUAUUAUAUAUACAUAUAACCACACGGUGGUGUAAUUGAUCCCGCCAUCAUGCUACUGUCGAUAUUACGGACGUCGCCAUCUUUUUCUUUCUCUGUCCGUUCUUCGCAAUGUCUACAGACGAUCGCUAUUAACCGACUGUACUCUAUCACGUGAUGCAAGGUAUAGUUGUCCGGAAACGCGUCAGAGCUAUAGUCACGUGACCACAUCGCUCUGUCAUCGCCGCUCACGUGACUGGAUGACGUGUAACCGGGGUCAUGUGACACGAAUUUUAAGCGUUCCCCCGUCCAACGUGCCACUCCGCGAUGUGAACAAGGUUAAACAAUGGCGGUUUCCGCCGUGCACAGUUGGACACGUCUACUAGAGAUGUCUUAAGAGAGCAAAAUUAGAAAAAGGGCCCAUUCAGUAAGGAUAAACUUUUACAUUUUUAUUCGUACCUUCUGCGAAAGUGGAAAAAGGUUCUCUUGGUUCUCCAUGUGGUAUCCACGCCUCACUUCCGAAGAUGGUUUCCUCUUCGUCUUCGCUAGAUAAUCCAUUUUCUAGUAUCUCUUCUUGUCGUCCUUCUUCUCCCUCCUCUAUUUCGUCGUCGGAGGCCAAAUCACUUUCGCUCUCGCUACUAUCAACUAGCAACUCACGGAUAUCUGACAUCUGUAGCUGUUUAGCGGAGCUUGGCCCAGCAAUUGCGGAUGGAUUCAUUUUACAAAAUGCUUGAAAACAAUUGACUGAUAAUAUGCAGAGGAGUGAUCAUAUGCAUGGCAGAGUUUAUAGAGGAGGAGCAGGGAGACAAACAACCACACCCCAGCAAAACUCGCUAAUCGCGACCCGAACCCCAUGAAAGUUUUAUUGAAAAACAAACCUGACAAUACAUCAGCUCAAUAAAUGAUAAAGUUAAUUACAAACAAUCCCGACAAUGUUAAUUUAAAAGAAUAAAAGAAACAAUGUGUUAAUAACAAUUUAAAACCCGACAAUCAUCAAAAGAUCCAGACCUGUUGAGCCAAUCUACACUCAAAAACCAAAUGAAUCAUAGUUUCUCUAAGUCCACAUCGCAAGUAACGGGAAUCUCGACCGUGAUGGUAAGUAGCAAUAAAAUCUUUUGUCAUUACAAUAUUUAACAACAUUUUCCAGGUAAGUUGUAACCACUCAGAUGGGAUAUUCUCAACAUUUUUCCAUACUUGUUUCCAAUUUAUAGUAGAAUUUAUCAUGUUAUAAUUUAACUGUUGUUUAUUUAUCAUUUUAUAUAUAAUAAUAGGCCAAACCUUAAUUAAAUUUUGUAUAGUAUUCCCAUGAUUAUCCAUGAUUUCAUUAAUAGUUUUUCUCCAAUUUCUAUAUUUCUUUUUAUUAUUAAUUAAAAAAGGAUACUGUUCUCCCACCUGAGUGAUUCUCUUUGCAGUGGGUACCAAUAUGUACUGAAUUAGAAAACAAACAAGAUGAUUAUAAUUUUUCAGAGCGUUAAUCAUAUGACUUAAAACUGUAGUGAGCACUCCAGACUUUUAAUAUCCCACACUCUCCACCCUCCAUUUACCUUAUCGUUAGUCAUCAUCUUUCUACUCAACGGUUCAUAAGAAUUCAUCCAAAUGUAUUCAUAAAUUAAGGAAUUAAUCUGUUUAAUAUCAUCAACCAUUAAGUUAGUAUAACACAGCAUGUACAUAAUAGUAGCAAUUGCAAUUUUAUUAAUUAUCGUGACGCGCUCUGGAAGAUAAAGCCAAUUUAUUUUCCAUUUGUCAAUUACAUUUUUAAUUUUAUUUACCAUUUCCUCUAAAUUCUUAUUAUUACUGUUUUUACCCAUCCAUAUACCAAGCCAGUUCAUAUUAUCAACCUUUUUAAUUUUCAUGUUUUUACAGUCCAUGCUCCCAUAGAUAUUUAUUAAUUUAGAUUUAUUUUCGUUGACGCGCAUGCCGGUAAAGAUACUAAAAUCUUUAAUUUUAUCAAUAAUUUUAUUCUGACUCUUUUUAUUUAUUACAAAAAAAUUUACAUCAUCGGCAUGUGCAAAAAAUUUUGUUGUGAUUUUAUUCCCUGGAACAUGAACUGGAUCUAUACUAUUAUCGUUUAAAACACUUUGUAACAAUACGUUAAUAUAAAUCCAACUCCUCGUUCAUGUUCCUUUCCUCCUGAAUAUAUGAAUCUGAAUCCUCCUCCUGUUUUUAUAUCGCCUCUUCUUGUCCAUCUAACCUCGGAAAUACCAAGAAUUGAUGUAUAGUGAUAAAGCUAUUUUCGAAUAAGUUUUCUUGGAAAUGGGUAGGGAGUUAAGCCCUAUUAUUCCCUAUAUAUUAAUAAAUCUGUCAAUGCAACUGAAAGCAUUGAAGGAGUAAUUACAGAGUCUCAUGGGAGCCAUACCUACAGCGACCAUACGUACUUUAUUUAAGAGGACAGUCCUUUAUUUCACUGCUCUGUCCUUUAACUUUAUUUAUUUUCUAAAAUAGGCAUUUUGUCCUUUAUUUUGUAAAGUUGACGCAAAGUUUAAAAAAAAAUUUUUUAUAAUAUAUUGAACAAGUUAGUUUUGUGUACGCCAUCACGAUCAGUGUUGCAUUGCUACAUAGAGCGCAGUAGUGCAGUGUGUCGCCAACCAAACGGCCCACUGACAGAACCAGGGGGUGGACACUCUUAUGAGGAUUUUUGUGAUAGUUUUUUAACUCUCUAGUUGGUGGAUGAUACACUUGUUAAUUAAAGCUAAAGUUAGUUGAAAGAAAAAAUGAGGGGUUUCUUCCUAUUGUUAUUAGAAAAGUGGUCUUAGCAUUAGAAAAAUCAGAAAAUAUACAAGCCAAAAAAUUCAAUGAUGUUGUGUACACAUUUUAUCAAACGUGCAUAGAUUAUCUAAAUGA